rnacentral:lncRNA from 1 species
UAAAAAUGGUACCAUAUGUACGUUCUUUGCAGUCCUGGAAAAAGCAAUGAAAGUUGAAGAGAUUAAAAUUAAACUAAUUGAUAGGAUCAAAAGAGAAUUGGAGGCACCAAUAUCAAUUCCACUGGAUUCAAUCGCAUCCGCAAUGCUGAUGGUAAACGUGUCACCUCCGGAAGGAGAGUGUGACCUUACUUUAAAGAAUCCUACGUGCAUAAAUGAAGCAACUGUACCUGGUAUGGGAAUUUUAUUUAAUUACCAUCAAAAAACCGUGAAUUUCACCUCCAAAGGCCUUCUGGUUGCCUACUG